rnacentral:rRNA from 1 species
CCUACGGGCGGCAGCAGUGGGGAAUAUUGGACAAUGGGGGGAACCCUGAUCCAGCCAUGCCGCGUGUGUGAAGAAGGCCCUCGGGUUGUAAAGCACUUUCAGUGAGGAAGAACGCCUGGUGGUUAAUACCCAUCAGGAAAGACAUCACUCACAGAAGAAGCACCGGCUAACUCCGUGCCAGCAGCCGCGGUAAUACGGAGGGUGCGAGCGUUAAUCGGAAUUACUGGGCGUAAAGCGCGCGUAGGUGGCUUGAUAAGCCGGUUGUGAAAGCCCCGGGCUCAACCUGGGAACGGCAUCCGGAACUGUCAAGCUAGAGUGCAGGAUAGGAAGGUAGAAUUCCCGGUGUAGCGGUGAAAUGCGUAGAGAUCGGGAGGAAUACCAGUGGCGAAGGCGGCCUUCUGGACUGACACUGACACUGAGGUGCGAAAGCGUGGGUAGCAAACAGGAUUAGAUACCCUAGUAGUC